rnacentral:piRNA from 1 species
UGUUAAAUUCCUUUAGGUCAA